rnacentral:rRNA from 1 species
AAUCCAUAGGUUAAUGAGGCGAACCGGGGGAACUGAAACAUCUAAGUACCCCGAGGAAAAGAAAUCAACCGAGAUUCCCCCAGUAGCGGCGAGCGAACGGGGAGGAGCCCAGAGCCUGAAUCAGCAUGUGUGUUAGUGGAAGCGUCUGGAAAGGCGCGCGAUACAGGGUGACAGCCCCGUACACAAAAGCGCAUGUGCUGUGAGCUCGAUGAGUAGGGCGGGACACGUGGUAUCCUGUCUGAAUAUGGGGGGACCAUCCUCCAAGGCUAAAUACUCCUGACUGACCGAUAGUGAACCAGUACCGUGAGGGAAAGGCGAAAAGAACCCCGGCGAGGGGAGUGAAAAAGAACCUGAAACCGUGUACGUACAAGCAGUGGGAGCACAGGUUUACCUGUGUGACUGCGUACCUUUUGUAUAAUGGGUCAGCGACUUAUAUUCUGUAGCAAGGUUAACCGUAUAGGGGAGCCGGAGGGAAACCGAGUCUUAAUUGGGCGUUAAGUUGCAGGGUAUAGACCCGAAACCCGGUGAUCUAGCCAUGGGCAGGUUGAAGGUUGGGUAACACUAACUGGAGGACCGAACCGACUAAUGUUGAAAAAUUAGCGGAUGACCUGUGGCUGGGGGUGAAAGGCCAAUCAAACCGGGAGAUAGCUGGUUCUCCCCGAAAGCUAUUUAGGUAGCGCCUCGUGAAUUCAUCUCCGGGGGUAGAGCACUGUUUCGGCUAGGGGGCCAUCCCGGCUUACCAACCCGAUGCAAACUGCGAAUACCGGAGAAUGUUAUCACGGGAGACACACGGCGGGUGCUAACGUCCGUCGUGAAGAGGGAAACAACCCAGACCGCCAGCUAAGGUCCCAAAGUCAUGGUUAAGUGGGAAACGAUGUGGGAAGGCCCAGACAGCCAGGAUGUUGGCUUAGAAGCAGCCAUCAUUUAAAGAAAGCGUAAUAGCUCACUGGUCGAGUCGGCCUGCGCGGAAGAUGUAACGGGGCUAAACCAUGCACCGAAGCUGCGGCAGCGAACGUAUCACCCAAGACAACUUUACGGAGUUGACGAUUGACGGAGCGAAGCGACGUCAAAGCGUUCAUUAAAGUCGAGUUGGCUUAGGGAUACGUUCGUUGGGUAGGGGAGCGUUCUGUAAGCCUGUGAAGGUGUGUCGUGAGGCAUGCUGGAGGUAUCAGAAGUGCGAAUGCUGACAUAAGUAACGAUAAAGCGGGUGAAAAGCCCGCUCGCCGGAAGACCAAGGGUUCCUGUCCAACGUUAAUCGGGGCAGGGUGAGUCGACCCCUAAGGCGAGGCCGAAAGGCGUAGUCGAUGGGAAACGGGUUAAUAUUCCCGUACUUGGUGUUACUGCGAAGGGGGGACGGAGAAGGCUAUGUUGGCCGGGCGACGGUUGUCCCGGUUUAAGCGUGUAGGUGUGUGUUCCAGGUAAAUCCGGUUCACUUUAACACUGAGGCGUGACGACGAGGCACUACGGUGCUGAAGCAACAAAUGCCCUGCUUCCAGGAAAAGCCUCUAAGCAUCAGGUAACACGAAAUCGUACCCCAAACCGACACAGGUGGUCAGGUAGAGAAUACCAAGGCGCUUGAGAG